UUAAGUGACUAAGCGUACACGGUGGAUGCCUAGGCAGUCAGAGGCGAUGAAGGGCGUGCUAAUCUGCGAAAAGCGUCGGUAAGGUGAUAUGAACCGUUAUAACCGGCGAUACCCGAAUGGGGAAACCCAGUGUGUUUCGACACACUAUCAUGUCAUGAAUACAUAGUGGCAUGAGGCGAACCGGGGGAACUGAAACAUCUAAGUACCCCGAGGAAAAGAAAUCAACCGAGAUUCCCCCAGUAGCGGCGAGCGAACGGGGAGGAGCCCAGAACCUGAAUCGGCUUGUGUGUUAGUGGAAGCGUCUGGAAAGUCGCGCAGUAAAGGGUGAUAGCCCCGUACACUAAAAUGCACAGGUCGUGAGUUCGAUGAGUAGGGCGGGACACGUGACAUCCUGUCUGAAUAUGGGGGGACCAUCCUCCAAGGCUAAAUACUCCUGACUGACCGAUAGUGAACCAGUACCGUGAGGGAAAGGCGAAAAGAACCCCGGCGAGGGGAGUGAAAUAGAACCUGAAACCGUGUACGUACAAGCAGUGGGAGCACCUUCGUGGUGUGACUGCGUACCUUUUGUAUAAUGGGUCAGCGACUUAUAUUUUGUAGCAAGGUUAACCGUAUAGGGGAGCCGUAGGGAAACCGAGUCUUAACUGGGCGUCUAGUUGCAAGGUAUAGACCCGAAACCCGGUGAUCUAGCCAUGGGCAGGUUGAAGGUUGGGUAACACUAACUGGAGGACCGAACCGACUAAUGUUGAAAAAUUAGCGGAUGACUUGUGGCUGGGGGUGAAAGGCCAAUCAAACCGGGAGAUAGCUGGUUCUCCCCGAAAGCUAUUUAGGUAGCGCCUCGUGAACUCAUCUUCGGGGGUAGAGCACUGUUUCGGCUAGGGGGCCAUCCCGGCUUACCAAACCGAUGCAAACUCCGAAUACCGAAGAAUGUUAUCACGGGAGACACACGGCGGGUGCUAACGUCCGUCGUGAAGAGGGAAACAACCCAGACCGCCAGCUAAGGUCCCAAAGUCAUGGUUAAGUGGGAAACGAUGUGGGAAGGCAUAGACAGCCAGGAUGUUGGCUUAGAAGCAGCCAUCAUUUAAAGAAAGCGUAAUAGCUCACUGGUCGAGUCGGCCUGCGCGGAAGAUGUAACGGGGCUAAACCAUGCACCGAAGCUGCGGCAGCGACGCUUAGGCGUUGUUGGGUAGGGGAGCGUUCUGUAAGCCGUUGAAGGUGGCCUGUGAGGGUUGCUGGAGGUAUCAGAAGUGCGAAUGCUGACAUAAGUAACGAUAAAGCGGGUGAAAAGCCCGCUCGCCGGAAGACCAAGGGUUCCUGUCCAACGUUAAUCGGGGCAGGGUGAGUCGACCCCUAAGGCGAGGCUGAAAAGCGUAGUCGAUGGGAAACAGGUUAAUAUUCCUGUACUUGGUGUUACUGCGAAGGGGGGACGGAGAAGGCUAGGCUAGCCGGGCGACGGUUGUCCCGGUUUAAGCGUGUAGGGGGUGUGACCUGGUAAAUCCGGUUGCAUAUCAACCCUGAGGCGUGAUGACGAUGCACUACGGUGCAGAAGUAGUUGAUGCCCUGCUUCCAGGAAAAUCCUCUAAGCUCCAGGUAACAUUAAAUCGUACCCCAAACCGACACAGGUGGUCAGGUAGAGAAUACCAAGGCGCUUGAGAGAACUCGGGUGAAGGAACUAGGCAAAAUGGUGCCGUAACUUCGGGAGAAGGCACGCUGGCAUGUAGGUGAAGUCCCUUGCGGAUGGAGCUGAAGCCAGUCGAAGAUACCAGCUGGCUGCAACUGUUUAAUAAAAACACAGCACUGUGCAAACACGAAAGUGGACGUAUACGGUGUGACGCCUGCCCGGUGCUGGAAGGUUAAUUGAUGGGGUCAGCCGCAAGGCGAAGCUCUUGAUCGAAGCCCCAGUAAACGGCGGCCGUAACUAUAACGGUCCUAAGGUAGCGAAAUUCCUUGUCGGGUAAGUUCCGACCUGCACGAAUGGCGUAAUGAUGGCCAGGCUGUCUCCACCCGAGACUCAGUGAAAUUGAACUCGCUGUGAAGAUGCAGUGUACCCGCGGCAAGACGGAAAGACCCCGUGAACCUUUACUAUAGCUUGACACUGAACAUUGAGCCUUGAUGUGUAGGAUAGGUGGGAGGCUUUGAAGCGUGGACGCCAGUCUGCGUGGAGCCAUCCUUGAAAUACCACCCUUUAAUGUUUGAUGUUCUAACUCUGCCCCAUAAUCUGGGGUGAGGACAGUGUCUGGUGGGUAGUUUGACUGGGGCGGUCUCCUCCCAAAGAGUAACGGAGGAGCACGAAGGUUAGCUAAUCACGGUCGGACAUCGUGAGGUUAGUGCAAAGGCAUAAGCUAGCUUGACUGCGAGAGUGACGGCUCGAGCAGGUACGAAAGUAGGUCUUAGUGAUCCGGUGGUUCUGAAUGGAAGGGCCAUCGCUCAACGGAUAAAAGGUACUCCGGGGAUAACAGGCUGAUACCGCCCAAGAGUUCAUAUCGACGGCGGUGUUUGGCACCUCGAUGUCGGCUCAUCACAUCCUGGGGCUGAAGUAGGUCCCAAGGGUAUGGCUGUUCGCCAUUUAAAGUGGUACGCGAGCUGGGUUUAGAACGUCGUGAGACAGUUCGGUCCCUAUCUGCCGUGGGCGUUGGAAGAUUGAGAGGGGUUGCUCCUAGUACGAGAGGACCGGAGUGAACGCACCACUGGUGUUCGGGUUGUCAUGCCAAUGGCAUUGCCCGGUAGCUAAGUGCGGAAAAGAUAAGCGCUGAAAGCAUCUAAGCGCGAAACUUGCCUCAAGAUGAGUCUUCCCUGGGCCUUUAAGGCCCCUGAAGGAACGUUUAAGACUAAGACGUUGAUAGGCUGGGUGUGUAAGUGCAGCGAUGCAUUGAGCUAACCAGUACUAAUGAUCCGUGAGGCUUAACCUU
rnacentral:rRNA from 1 species